GGCCAAAGAUCACACACCGAUUGGCCGCAAAACCAGGGCUGGAAGCCAAGCCUUGUGGCCUACUGGGCAUCAGGCAUGACACCUUUUUCUGGAAGGACAGCCCUCAGCAAUGCUUUUAGAGCCGCGCUUUACAAAUGAGGGCCCGUUGCAAAGUGAGAGCAGAGAGCCUUUCUAAUUUACUUAGAGAAGAAGAGGAAAAUGAUGGGCUUGAUAAUUGCUAGAGUCGCACUUCUAACUCUAUUUACAGGGUGGAAGAUUGAUUGCGGGGGCUAAGAACCUCGGCAGGCUCGGCAGGCUUCUGUUCUGAUGCAAUUAAGCUUUGCUCCUUCCAGCUCUGCCUAGGACCUGGGUCAGGCCCCGCGAGACCUGGGUGUGAGCUGGAAACCCAGUCUGGACCUGCUCCAGCCUUGAGUCCUGAAGAAGUCCGUGGGAAUAGGCAAGAACUUGGCGCCCAUGGUCCAAGUAAGGCCAUCGGGGCCGUUGGGUCAUGCUUCCUGGUACCUGGGCUGCUGGCCAGACCCUCACACGGUAUCAGAAUCCCCCUGCCACUACCUGCUUGAAGUUGGGCGGCUCCAGGACCACCCCGAGCUGGCCGUGCUCUGUCCUCACCACCCAGGCUGGCCCCCUGGGUAGCCGUCGCCAUCUUGAUUGCGCCUGGGUUUCCUCUGCGCUUUGCACUUUGGCGAUGUGGGCUGUGAACCUCUCCACAGAGGACCCCAGUGCUACUCUGGAGCUGGGCCUCUUUCCCCAACCCUGUCCACCCUAGCCAAGCAUGGCUCAGCCCAUUUGUUUGCUUUUGUUGUUUAUGAGAGUGGAAAACUGGAAACCCACCAAAUGCCCCCAAAUAAGGGAUGGUUAUGGAAAUGCAGAAACGUUGACCACUAUGAAAGGGUAUGCAGCCAUGGCAAUUCUUUUUACGAAGAGUCUUCUGCUUAGCAUGGCAUCGAGACCGCCAUGUUGAACUGGGCACCUCUCAUGGCGUCCAAGUGGCCUCAAGGGCAGGACUUCAUGGUCUGAGUCAGCGAGCUUCGUUUCUGGCUGCCCAUCUGAAUCCUACUCACGCUGACGUUGGAACUCGCCCAAGACAUAUGGAACCAGAAUCUCUGGGGCUCCAUAUUUUUAAGCGGCUCUCAAGUCAAAGCUACUUCCCAGCGCAGCCACCUCAAACCGUUGCCUUUGGGUCUUCAGCAACACGAGCUCCUUGAGAGGGCUGGUUUGCGAGGCGUUAUUUCCUAGACACCAGACAGAAAAAUGUAAGCCAAGCACGGGAACGUCUGGGCUCGUGGUGACCAUCUUCGGCGUCACGCGAGAGCGUCUGUCUGGCACCUCGUAGGCUGGGGAAACAGGCGUGAAGCAGCCAGCGCUUCUGGGGGUUUCGUAUCUGGAGUGUAGCAAAUGCUACCUAGGACAUCGUGCUAUCCGGGUGCGACUGGCUAAGGGGCGAUUGUGUCCGUUUGUCCACAAGACCACUCGUGCUGUGUGGUCCUAAGUGUGCUGGUCGACCACACGCCCACCCCAGAUUCUCUGCCUGACUCCUGGACCUUUGGCUACAACCACAGUGGGAAAGGGAGGUACUGGGUGGCCCCGGAAGGGAUGAAUGAAUGAAAGGGUAGAGCUAGGGAGGAGAGUGUCACCAGCUACAUGAGAAUCAACAGCUUGGAGACCUUCUAUAACUCCCAGAUCACCCUGGGCCCGCCACCCCUCCCCCCCCAAAUCCUUCAAUGUGCUGUCAUCAGUUUGUCAUUUUGGAUUUUAUUAAAGUCACCU